CAGUAGCCGCGGGAAUACGGAGGGAGCUAGCGUUGUUCGGAAUUACUGGGCGUAAAGCGCACGUAGGCGGUUAUUCAAGUCAGAGGUGAAAGCCCGGGGCUCAACCCCGGAACUGCCUUUGAAACUAGAUGACUAGAAUCUUGGAGAGGUCAGUGGAAUUCCGGGUGUAGAGGUGAAAUUCGUAGAUAUUCGGAAGAACACCAGUGGCGAAGGCGGCUGACUGGACAAGUAUUGACGCUGAGGUGCGAAAGCGUGGGGAGCAAACAGGAUUAGAUACCCCCGUAGUCCCUGUCUCUUAUAC
rnacentral:rRNA from 1 species